rnacentral:piRNA from 1 species
UACACAGUAGAUGUGGAAGGACACGGU